GACGUGCAGCUCAGUUGGUAGAGCAUCUGAUUUGUAAUCAGAGGGUCGAGGGUUCAAUCCCGGUCACGUCA
rnacentral:tRNA from 1 species